GUCGAGAAUCUUUCACAAUGGGGGCAACCCUGAUGGAGCGACGCCGCGUGGAGGAUAAGGUCUUCGGAUUGUAAACUCCUGUCAUGCGUGAACAAGGUUGCUUGGAUAAUACCUGAGCAAAUUGAUGGUAGCGCAAGAGGAAGAGACGGCUAACUCUGUGCCAGCAGCCGCGGUAAUACAGAGGUCUCAAGCGUUGUUCGGAAUCACUGGGCGUAAAGGGUGCGUAGGUGGCGUGGCAAGUCAGAUGUGAAAGCGCGGGGCUCAACCUCGGAACUGCAUCCGAUACUGCCAUGCUAGAGUACUGGAGGGGUGACUAGAAUUCUCGGUGUAGCAGUGAAAUGCGUAGAUAUCGAGAGGAAUACCAAAGGCGUAGGCAGGUCACUGGACAGUUACUGACACUGAGGCACGAAGGCCAGGGGAGCGAACGGGAUUAGAUACCCUUGUAGUCC
rnacentral:rRNA from 1 species